AUGUUUCUUUCUUCAUUGAAUUGAGUCAUUUUAUCUAUGAUUAUAAAUGUUUGACACUUGUGAGUUUAACUCAAGUUACGUCAAAUAUAUUUUUAAUAUCUGUCAGAAAUUGAAAAUUGAUAAAAUAUGGAAAAAUCUUUGAAGAGCACCAAAGAAAAACUGGACAAGCUUGAGGAUGAUAGAAAGAUGAGAAGGGCCAACUUUUUGAAAAAUAUAGCUGCUUUACGUAAGUUAAAUUCUAAUCGUGAAGCAGCAAAAGUUGAAGAUGGGACUGUUGAGAAAUCUAAGGAAACCACUAACUUAGAGGGAACUAAAACUGAAGAUGUAGAUAAAAAAUUCCAAUAAAUUAUCAAAGAAUCCGAAUAAUCAGUAUACAUUAUUAUAUUUCGAAAUAAAUUGAUCAGUUACUUUA